AAGAGCUGAUUGAAGGCAAAGAAAAUAAUAGAUGUUGAUAUACAAAGUAUGGUGUUCCUCGUUCAUUAUGACUAUUACUAAUUAAUAAACUCUUGACAGAUGUUUGUGUUCUGUAAAUUUACUUCCUUUGCAGAGCAUGUAAUUUAGGCUGUCUGCAGCCACUUCAAAAUCAAAAUCAGAGUCCAGGAAAAAAAAAAUAGGAUAAACACAUCAGGUUGGGUUUGCUGUUACUCAGCUGGAUAUGACCCCCACUCUAAUUAUACCCUGCAUAAAUCUGGGGCUUCCCACGACCAGAUUCUCCCUGGAGUCUCCAUCAGAGAACACCCACUUUAAUACCAGGAGCCUUAAAGAACACAUCUCUUUAAUCCAGGUUUCUCCAAAAGGCACUAAGUAAGUGUUUAUAAUACACACACUUCCCCGAAGUUCAGUGAGGGUACCUGUUCUUCCCUCAGAGCCCAGGGCUGAUUCUAAGUAUGGUUUUAAUUCUCCCAAGCACAUGGCUUCCCAUUAACAAUGGUGCUUUUCUUGCCUAUUUAUCAUGGCAAUGUUGUAAUAAGUGCUGCAGUACCACCUGCAGGCUCAUAGCUGUUUUGUGGAGCUCUAAUUGAGGCUUCCUAGAAUGAUCUAAACUUCAUUCCUCCUGAUUCCCAAAUAGCCUUUGUCGUCUGCAUGCAGAGCACCUCAGAAGUGAAGUCCCUUGCUUGACCAGUUGUUUUGCUAAUCUAGAACUUCCUGAGCCUAAAAUUCUCUACUUAUCAAGAAUGGCACGCCUUCAGUCUACAAGAAAGGACAGGGGCAAAGUGGUAGGAGUUCUUGCCAUCCAAGUGUGAGGAUCUGAGUUUAACCUUCAGGGCCCACAUAAAAAGUGGUCUAAAGUGAUGUGCUUAUAAUCCAUGCCCUGGUAGAUGGAUGUAAUCCAAGUGGAGGUCGGAGGGGCAUUCCUGAGGCUUGCUGGGCAACCAGUUCAGCAGAACCUGUGAGCUCUGGUCAGUGAGAAACCCCACUUCAGGUGGGGAGCGGGAGCGGGAGAGGGGGGGUGGGGAGAGGGAACAGGGGGUGGGGAGAGAGGGAGAAAUUGAAGAAGAGAGCUGAUGUUAAUUUCCAGCUUACACACACACACAUACAUAUAAACAUAUAUACACAUGCGUACACACACAUACACACAAAUACACAAUACAUACACACACAUGCAUACACACACACACACACACACACACUGAGUAGCGUAUGAACACAGGCAUCAUGGUUCUUAGAACUGUCCUGCCUGCUUCUGGAAUCCUGUAUUUACUGUGAUUCUUAACCUCAUCCUGGGUGACAACAGGAAUUUUUUUUUAUGACUAACAAUUAUUUUUAUUCCUAAUAAUUACAUAAUUAUCAUUUUGAGAACACUCGUGUUUUCAUAAUUCACUUUUAAAAUAGGGACUUUCUAAAUAUUAUUUUAUCUUUCAGGGUUUUUUUCUUUUAUUGAAAAUAGUUUUGUUUUUUUUUUUCACGUGUAUAUAUAUAUAUAUAUAUAUAUAUAUAUAUAUAUACACAUACAUACAUAUACAUAUACAUAUAUAUCUCCUGAUUAUGGUUCUCCCUUCCUCUGCUCCUCCUAGCUCCUCCCCACCUCCCUCCCAUCAGGAUCCACCCCCUUUCUGUCUCUCAUUAGCAAAUACACAGGCUUCUAUGGGAUAAUGAUAAAAUAGGAAUAAAAAAAUCUACACAUUGGGAUAGAACAAAAUAGAAAAAAAAAAGAAAGAAAGAAAGAAAAAAAGCCCAAGGAAGACACAAGAAAAAGAGACACACAUUCUCAUUCUCGGGAAUUCCAUAAUACUGUGAUGCUAUGUAUGCAAAAGACCUGUAAGGUAAAAAAG
rnacentral:lncRNA from 1 species